CUUAAAACCCCUUCAUAUCUGCCUGUUUCAAUUCUUAUUGGCGCCACACCACAUCGAAAUUUAGCAAAGGCGCUUUUAUAUUUUCCUGGCAUAUGAACACUUAAAUAAUGUUCUUUAUAAUAUUCUUGUUUAAAUAAUCUAUAUGUACGCAGUUUACUGCGCUCAUUUGUGUUUAAAUCAUUACACCAUUUUCUCUUGUACAUAUCAAAAACAU
rnacentral:lncRNA from 1 species